rnacentral:ncRNA from 1 species
UUCCUUGUGAAAGAAAAUGAGAUUAAAAGGGAAUCCUGUGAAAGUCAGGAACUAUCCCCGUAGCUGUAAGUUCCGAAUAAAGGUCUGUUCAAGAAUGCCACUGGUCCAAGCCCCGACGGACUGGGAAGGCGCAACAGAUGGAACGAGUCAGAAGACCUGCCGUGUGCAA